rnacentral:rRNA from 1 species
UAUAUUCCUACGGGAAGCAGCAGUGGGGAAUAUUGGACAAUGGGCGAAAGCCUGAUCCAGCCAUGCCGCGUGUGUGAAGAAGGUCUUCGGAUUGUAAAGCACUUUAAGUUGGGAGGAAGGGUUGUAGAUUAAUACUCUGCAAUUUUGACGUUACCGACAGAAUAAGCACCGGCUAACUAUGUGCCAGCAGCUGCGG